GCCAGGCAUGGUGGUGGGUGCCUGUAAUCCCAGCUACUCAGGAGGCUGAGGCAGGAGAAUUGCUUGAACCCAGGGGGCAGAGGUUGCAGUGAGCUGAGAUUGUGCCACUACACUCCAGCCUGGGUGACAGAGCAAGACUCUGUCUCAA
rnacentral:SRP_RNA from 1 species